UACGUAGGGUGCAAGCGUUAAUCGGAAUUACUGGGCGUAAAGCGUGCGCAGGCGGUUAUGUAAGACAGUUGUGAAAUCCCCGGGCUCAACCUGGGAACUGCAUCUGUGACUGCAUAGCUAGAGUACGGUAGAGGGGGAUGGAAUUCCGCGUGUAGCAGUGAAAUGCGUAGAUAUGCGGAGGAACACCGAUGGCGAAGGCAAUCCCCUGGACCUGUACUGACGCUCAUGCGACGAAAGCGUGGG
rnacentral:rRNA from 1 species